GAUGAAAAACGUAGCGAAAUGCGAUAAGUAAUGUGAAUUGCAGAAUUCAGUGAAUCAUCGAAUCUUUGAACGCACCUUGCACCCUUUGGCAUUCUGAAGGGUAUGCUCGUUUGAGUGUCAUUGUACUCUCACACUCCCGAUCUUUGCAUUGGGAGCAGUGGACUUGGGUUUGCUGCUUCACCGUCGCUUACCUCAAAUAGGUUAGUGCAACUCUUGGUUGGACAUAGUACGGCGUGAUAAGUGUUCUUCGCCGGUGCCUCGCAAAGAGGGUGGCCGAUCGGGAUGUUGUGCUCCAAACCGUCUUCGGACAAUCUCUGACGACUUGACCUCAAAUCGAGUAAGACUACCCGCUGAACUUAAGCAUAUCAAUAAGCGGAGGA
rnacentral:misc_RNA from 1 species